UGAUAAUGAUAAUGAUGAUGAUGAUGAUGAUGAUGAUGAUGAUCAUCAUCAUCAUCAUCAUCAUCAUCAUCUUGUAUU
rnacentral:pre_miRNA from 1 species